rnacentral:rRNA from 1 species
GAUGAACGCUGGCGGCGUGCUUAACACAUGCAAGUCGAACGGAAAGGCUCCUGCUUGCAGGGGUACUCGAGUGGCGAACGGGUGAGUAACACGUGGGUGAUCUGCCCUGCACUUCGGGAUAAGCCUGGGAAACUGGGUCUAAUACCGGAUAGGACGAUGGUUUGGAUGCCAUUGUGGAAAGUUUUUCGGUGUGGGAUGAGCUCGCGGCCUAUCAGCUUGUUGGUGGGGUAAUGGCCUACCAAGGCGUCGACGGGUAGCCGGCCUGAGAGGGUGUACGGCCACAUUGGGACUGAGAUACGGCCCAGACUCCUACGGGAGGCAGCAGUGGGGAAUAUUGCACAAUGGGCGCAAGCCUGAUGCAGCGACGCCGCGUGGGGGAUGACGGCCUUCGGGUUGUAAACUCCUUUCGCUAGAGACGAAGCGCAAGUGACGGUACCUGGAGAAGAAGCACCGGCUAACUACGUG